CUCAUGCAAAGCUCUGAUUCCUUUCACGGAUUUGGCUAUACUUUUUGGACCUUUUGGAUUAUAGCUCUUCAUCUUUUAUAUAAGCUUUGGAUUUCAAAUAUUUUGGCCACGAGCAUCACUGAAGAGACAUGUAUUGUCGAAAUGCGCAUCUGGUGCAAGAAAAUUGGUAUCGUUAAUUUUAUUACUACCACUGGGUCGAUGCCUCUGCUGGUGGAC
rnacentral:lncRNA from 1 species